UGGGGAAUCUUGCACAAUGGACGAAAGUCUGAUGCAGCGAUCCCGCGUGAAGGAUGAAGCCCUAUGGGGUGUAAACUUCUUUUUUGGUUGAAGAAGAAUGACGGUAAACCAAGAAUAAGAGACGGCUAACUACGUGCCAGCAGCCGCGGUAAUACGUAGGUCUCGAGCGUUAUCCGGAUUUACUGGGCGUAAAGUGUCCGUAGCCUGAUGUAUAAGUCUGUUUUCAAAUCCCUCGACUUAAUCGAGGAAAGGGGAUAGAUACUGUAUAUCUAGAGAUUGUUAGAGGUUAGUGGAAUUUCCUGUGGAGCGGUGAAAUGUGUUGAUAUAGGAAAGAAUGCCGAAAGCGAAAGCAGCUAACUAUGAUAAAUCUGACGGUGAGGGACGAAAGCUUGGGUAGCAAACGGG
rnacentral:rRNA from 1 species